AUCCGAUGCCCUUUUCUGGUGUGUCUGAAGACAGCUACUGUGUACUCACAUAUAUAAAAUAAAUAAAAUCUUAAAAAACAACAACAAAAAAAAACCCUUUCAUUUUAUAUAUUAUUUAGGAUAAAACAUUGCCAUGACAAGACCAAAAAUAUCAUUUGCCUAACACAGAGGACUUGGGAAAUGGUUUAACCAGCCAGUGAUCUGGAGACUAAAAAAGAAAACAUUUUUACGUAUAUUUGUUUACAUUAUAUGUAUGUACAUGAGGAUAUGUAGAGGUAGAGGACAACUUGUAGAAAUCACUUCUCUUCUAUCGUGUACGUUUGAGAGACUGAGGUCAUAAGGUUUGGUAGCAAGGGCCCCACCCAUUGAUCCAUCCUGCUGUUCCAUUUUCCCCACCCAUGUGUUUAAAACAGUUUAUAAACAGGUGUUUUAAACUGUUUAGACUUGAAAUUUGUUGGCAAACUUGGAUUAGGUUUAAUAAGUUUUAAUGUGUUGGUCAGAUUUUGAAUAAAUACCAUUUGCUGCAUUUCAGAAACCUAAUGGUAUGUACUGGGAAAUGCAGCCAUUUUCCUUCCCUGAUGACCUGAAAGAUCUGAUCCCCACUUUCAUGGGCAUAUCUUCUAAUAGAGACGCUAUUACAAUCAGAGCUGCCAUAGAUGAUGUGGCAGAGUACUUGCCACAUAUAUUUAGGUCCUGGUAAUAAUUCCCAGUACCAAAAAAUCAAAAUGAAAUAAAACCAAAACAUAUCUUUAGGUUGGGGAUAUAACUCAUCAUAGUUUUCACCUUGCAUGUGUGAGGCUCUUGUUAAAUCCCCAGCAACACACACACACACACACACACACACACACACACACUCACUCACUCACUCACAGAGUAUUUGGAAAAUUACAGCUUUGAUAAGUGCUAUGAAAGAGAGGUUCGAGGACAGGUUUUCAGCUUGUGCUGGGUUUCAAAUGACAGCCAGACACUAAAAGCAGUUUCCAGUAAAGGGAUGUAAAUUUAGAACAAAUGUUGAACCGAAUCUAAAAUUUACAGUUAUUUUAGUCUAAAAAGGUGUAGCUGGAGUAUGAAAAUGCCCAAGCCUCUUAAAGAAUACAGUGUAAAUACAGUGUAGGGUUCCAAGGACUGAGCCCUGGGGAUGCUUACAGUUAGGGUUGGAAAGAGGCUGGUUGAGGGAAUUGUAGGGGACAGAAGGAGUGGUAGAAAGUUGAAAGAUUUUCAAGAAUUUAGUUGUGAAAACCAAGGAAAGGAGAGUUUCAGAGUGAGAGUCAAGGACAGGGCAGUUUUUAAAAGAGGCAAUAGUAAUCAGGAGAGUCAACAGAAUUAACAAAAGCAACAACAAGAUUACUGACUGAGAAAAGAGCAUGUUUUAAUCAAAUGCUCUUGCUGAACCCCAAGGACAUUGUUUUAUAGAAAAAUAGAACAACUGUUCCUUUAGAACCUAGAUUCAACUAAUUGAGACUAUAUUAACUUGAGAAAUUUGCUGGUGAAAGAUAAUUAUAACAUCCCAGUUAGCUAAAGAUCUUUUGAGAUAAAGGAAAUUCAGUCUACAGCCACAACUUUUAACUCUCAGCACUCCUCCCCACUGAUAGACACAGUCUGUCUGUCUGUCUCUCAACUAAAGAACCUAUUUUAGUUUAAGGACAC
rnacentral:lncRNA from 1 species